rnacentral:rRNA from 1 species
UACGUAGGUGGCAAGCGUUGUCCGGAUUUACUGGGCGUAAAGAGCGCGCAGGCGGUCGUUCAAGUCGCGUGUGAAAGCCCCCGGCUCAACUGGGGAGGGUCACGCGAUACUGAUCGACUCGAAGGCAGGAGAGGGAAGUGGAAUUCCCGGUGUAGUGGUGAAAUGCGCAGAUAUCAGGAAGAACACCCGUGGCGAAGGCGGCUCUCUGGUACGUGACUGACGCUGAGACGCGAAAGCGUGGGGAGCAAACAGG